rnacentral:rRNA from 1 species
GACGAACGCUGGCGGCGUGCUUAACACAUGCAAGUCGAACGCUGAAGCUUGGUGCUUGCACUGGGUGGAUGAGUGGCGAACGGGUGAGUAAUACGUGAGUAACCUGCCCUUGACUCUGGGAUAAGCCUGGGAAACUGGGUCUAAUACUGGAUACGACAUGUCACCGCAUGGUGGCGUGUGGAAAGGGUUUUACUGGUUUUGGAUGGGCUCGUGGCCUAUCAGCUUGUUGGUGGGGUAAUGGCUCACCAAGGCGACGACGGGUAGCCGGCCUGAGAGGGUGACCGGCCACACUGGGACUGAGACACGGCCCAGACUCCUACGGGAGGCAGCAGUGGGGAAUAUUGCACAAUGGGCGAAAGCCUGAUGCAGCGACGCCGCGUGAGGGAUGACGGCCUUCGGGUUGUAAACCUCUUUCAGCACGGAAGAAGCGAAAGUGACGGUACGUGCAGAAGAAGCGCCGGCUAACUACGUG